rnacentral:rRNA from 1 species
CCUACGGGUGGCAGCAGUGGGGGAUAUUGCACAAUGGGGGGAACCCUGAUGCAGCGACGCCGCGUGGGUGAAGGAGUGCUUCGGCAUGUAAAGCCCUAUCGGCAGGGAAGAAGCAAGACGGUACCUGACUAAGAAGCCCCGGCUAACUACGUGCCAGCAGCCGCGGUAAUACGAAGGGGGCGAGCGUUAUCCGGAUUCACUGGGUGUAAAGGGAGCGUAGACGGCCAUGCAAGCCAGGGGUGAAAGCCCGGGGCCCAACCCCGGGACUGCCCUUGGAACUGUGCGGCUAGAGUGCGGGAGGGGGAGGCGGAAUUCCUGGUGUAGCGGUGAAAUGCGUAGAUAUCAGGAGGAACACCGGCGGCGAAGGCGGGCUGCUGGACCGCGACUGACGUUGAGGCUCGAAGGCGUGGGGAGCGAAAAGGAUUAGAUACCCGUGUAGUC